rnacentral:lncRNA from 1 species
AAACAAUUGCCCACUUUAUACACCACAAAUUGAACCCUAACCUCACAUGUGCGCUACCUCCAUCACACCCUCCAUCUCUCUUGUUGAAACUCAUCCUUUCUCUUUCUUUGGCCCAAUAAAAGAAAUAUUUUCUCACUUUCUCAUACCUAUUUUUCUGAACUAUAGCCACAAUAGCUUGGAGGCGUCAAAUGCUAUAUUUCUGGCACUGCGGAUUCCAAUCUUUCUGCUAGUAUUUUCUUAAAUAUUUGAUUGUGGGUAUUUUAAAGUUUAUAUCUUGUGUUGAUUUAUUGUUCCUUCUGUAGAGUUUUUAUUUUUUCACUAAAUACAAGUGGUAUAAAUUAUUUAUAUUUUUGAAUGUGUGUGUCAGUUCUAGGUUCCAUUUGGUAGAGUUUCAUUUGGCCAAGUUAGGUUUGUGUAUAAUAAAAUGGUUUAUUAUCACAGCAAGAUUUCAUUUUUGUUGCAUAUUUCAAUUGGGUUUUCUUAUUUAAGUGUUGUUUGUUUGCAGGCUAAAUGAAAAAUAAUACACUCGUAAUUAUAAUUUCACAGCCUAAUAGGAAAUGUUUUGUUUAUUUUCAUUAUUAUGGGAUUUUGGUGUUGCAAAGUUUGUAUAUUUACUGCUGAAUAUAGUAUUAAUGGUUUUUAAGGCAUCUUAACUUCUAUUCAUGUUCUGUUUUUUCUUGGGCUUAGAAGUUAACUAACAUUUUUUUGUAGAUGCCAAGCUAGUUGCUUUCAAGCUACUCAUCUUGCAUAUGCGACUUGAAUAUUGUCAUGCCUCGAGCAAAAUUGUUUUUCUUAUUUAAAAUCAUUUCACACUUUUUUUUUCAUUUACUUAUCUUCCUUUAAAUAAAGAAACCGAUAGAAGGUGUUCCAAGUAUUCGAGAACUGCAGCGAGGAUGAUGAUUAGCAUUACGUGAAGCAAGUUCCUUUCUAUAUUUUAUUUAUUACGAGAGCAAAAACAAUUCUCUCUUUUUGUGGCUCAAAUUAAAGAAGCCUCCCUUCUAUUCAAGAGCUAAAUCUACUCCCGGAAAGUUUGAUUAUGUUUGUUGAAAAGAUGGAUCUUAAUCUCUUCACCCUAAGGGAAGCUGUACUUAAUUAGAAUGUAGUUGUCACACAGUCUUUUGGCUAAUUUUCAGAAACUAAAAGUGGAUAUAAGUUUAUUGUAAGAGGCGGGGGUGGAUAUUAUAGAAAUAAAUAUUUACUUUUAUUUUUACAUUCUUAUUUUUCUCAUUUGGUUUGAUCUAUGCAGGAUAUGAAGCUCCUAACUUGAGGUACUUAAUCUCUAUUUUCUUCUUAAAUUAGGAUAAGAUUUUACUCCUAUGUACUUGUUAUUAUAGAAUUUAUUCAUUUUACAGAUGUUUCUACCCUGUUCUAGGCGUAUGGUUGGUAUCCUUGAGUACCUAACUUGCUAGAUUCCUACAUAACCAUAUCAAAUUAAUUUAAAGCCAUAUAAUGUUGAGAUUCUAACUUGCUAGCUUCUUGAGCUGGGAUUUGAUAGUGUUUGUAGAAUCUUUAAUGGAAUCAGAGGUGGUUUUAAUAGACUUGGUUUUGUUCUUAGCAGAAUCAGAAGGAAGUUUAAUGAGCUUGGAUCGGUUCUUGAUUGAACCAAUAUUGGAUUUAAUGAGCUUGGUUUGGUUUUUGGAUAAACUUGUAUUAGAUUUAAUAACUUUGGUUGUAUUUUUUGAGGAAGAUAGUUUGGUAAAAGUAGUUUUCUUCUUAAUAACCGGCUCAUCUUCUUCUUUUACCUGUAACAUUGAUUUUCUAUGAAAACUUUUUGGUAUUCUUGUUCUCACUCUCCCUAUUUUCGGAAAAUUGGAUUCAAUAUUAACUAGCUGUGAUCUCUGUAAUAUUUUUGUUGUAAGCUCAAAAUUCAAACAGAUUGAAGACAAAAUUCAAACAGAAUGCUGUUGGGG